rnacentral:rRNA from 1 species
UACGUAGGGGGCAAGCGUUGUCCGGAAUCAUUGGGCGUAAAGCGCGUGUAGGCGGUUCUGUAAGUCUGCUGUGAAAGUCCAGGGCUCAACCCUGGGAUGCCGGUGGAUACUGCAGGGCUAGAGUACGGAAGAGGCGAGUGGAAUUCCCGGUGUAGCGGUGAAAUGCGCAGAUAUCGGGAGGAACACCUAUUGCGAAGGCAGCUCGCUGGGACGUUACUGACGCUGAGGAGCGAAAGCAUGGGGAGCGAACAGG